GAUGAACGCUAGCUACAGGCUUAACACAUGCAAGUCGAGGGGCAGCAUCAUCAAAGCUUGCUUUGAUGGAUGGCGACCGGCGCACGGGUGAGUAACACGUAUCCAACCUGCCGACAACACUGGGAUAGCCUUUCGAAAGAAAGAUUAAUACCGGAUGGCAUAAUUAUUCCGCAUGGGAUAAUUAUUAAAGAAUUUCGGUUGUCGAUGGGGAUGCGUUCCAUUAGGCAGUUGGCGGGGUAACGGCCCACCAAACCAACGAUGGAUAGGGGUUCUGAGAGGAAGGUCCCCCACAUUGGAACUGAGACACGGUCCAAACUCCUACGGGAGGCAGCAGUGAGGAAUAUUGGUCAAUGGACGAGAGUCUGAACCAGCCAAGUAGCGUGAAGGAUGACUGCCCUAUGGGUUGUAAACUUCUUUUAUACGGGAAUAAAGUUAGCCACGUGUGGCUUUUUGUAUGUACCGUAUGAAUAAGGAUCGGCUAACUCCGUGCCAGCAGCCGCGGUAAUACGGAGGAUCCGAGCGUUAUCCGGAUUUAUUGGGUUUAAAGGGAGCGUAGGCGGGUUGUUAAGUCAGUUGUGAAAGUUUGCGGCUCAACCGUAAAAUUGCAGUUGAUACUGGCGACCUUGAGUGCAACAGAGGUAGGCGGAAUUCGUGGUGUAGCGGUGAAAUGCUUAGAUAUCACGAAGAACUCCGAUUGCGAAGGCAGCUUACUGGAUUGUAACUGACGCUGAUGCUCGAAAGUGUGGGUAUCAAACAGGAUUAGAUACCCUGGUAGUCCACACAGUAAACGAUGAAUACUCGCUGUUGGCGAUAUACAGUCAGCGGCCAAGCGAAAGCAUUAAGUAUUCCACCUGGGGAGUACGCCGGCAACGGUGAAACUCAAAGGAAUUGACGGGGGCCCGCACAAGCGGAGGAACAUGUGGUUUAAUUCGAUGAUACGCGAGGAACCUUACCCGGGCUUAAAUUGCAACUGACGGAACCGGAAACGGUUCUUUCUUCGGACAGUCGUGAAGGUGCUGCAUGGUUGUCGUCAGCUCGUGCCGUGAGGUGUCGGCUUAAGUGCCAUAACGAGCGCAACCCUUAUCGAUAGUUACUAGCAGGUAAUGCUGAGGACUCUAUUGAGACUGCCGUCGUAAGAUGUGAGGAAGGUGGGGAUGACGUCAAAUCAGCACGGCCCUUACGUCCGGGGCUACACACGUGUUACAAUGGGGGGUACAGAAGGCAGCUACACGGCGACGUGGUGCUAAUCCCGAAAGCCUCUCUCAGUUCGGAUUGGAGUCUGCAACCCGACUCCAUGAAGCUGGAUUCGCUAGUAAUCGCGCAUCAGCCACGGCGCGGUGAAUACGUUCCCGGGCCUUGUACACACCGCCCGUCAAGCCAUGAAAGCCGGGGGUACCUGAAGUACGUAACCGCAAGGAGCGUCCUAGGGUAAAACUGGUGAUUGGGGCU
rnacentral:rRNA from 1 species